CUACCAUUUGUGACGCCCCACACUUUUAUCACUAAAGAUAAAUGUGCGAGAACAUAGAUUAUUAUUUAACAACCAUUAUUUUGCCAAAUAAUAAUCCACCAUCAGAGAUCGCAACAGAGGAAUAGUUAGAGCUACCUUUAAUUCGUCCCUAGGAGUAUUAAGGCCAUCUCUAAUCCAGCUCACUCUUGCAAGGGAUCAAACCUGUACAAAGGGGGUUAUAUAGCAAGGGUGAGCACUUUCGUACUCAGCAAGUCAUUAGUAGCAAAAUGUACACGCAUGAAUAAUAAUAUAUAACUCUAUAUACUACAAUACUAUACCUUACGUAACAUCAUCACCUUCAUUGUCAUCAAAAGUAAAGUAUAUUUCUAUUUUGUAAAAGAGUUUUCAAAAGGAGAUUUAUAAAAGCUAGAGUACACUCGUACAUUGAAUAGAGUUUGUAGCAACUCCCCGUAGACUCCAAUCCAGGAGACAGGCGUGAAUCACGAUUUAAUUUAGCACUGCGCAGGCUUGUAUCACUGUACCCAUAGCUACUCUUAACAUGUUUGAUUGUCGCACUUCACUAGAUACGGCACCAUGCUAAGAGUACAUAACUUUUCCCCUACUUCAAUUUACUACACUCCACGUUUGUGUAGAGCCUAUCAGCUCUCCACACCACCGCGCUACUAUAUGCGCUUGGAAUGCACUUCAUCGGCAUUCAUGGGGUUUAUAUCAUCUCCCAUUCUACUACUACGUACCCAUGUGGAGUAUAAUAAACUUGAUAAGGUACUAGGUCCAGCCCAUCUUAAGACGGAUCUAUGGUUGACACGGUAUAUACGGUUCUCUGAUACGAAUGAUGGGGUGAUUAGUCCUUAUAUUUAUACACCGUAUGUAGGGAGAGCCCUGACCUGCCAUCAUCAUCAAUCAUCUCAUCCCUGAGCUCCCCCUACCCACCAUACUAGUAUCCCGAUGAUCUCCAUCAUCAUCGGCUUGUCAAUCAUAUCAUCAUCGUUCAUAUCAUUAUUCUAGAAAAUAUAUAUUGAUGCAAUACUAGGAGAAAUAUUUUUAUGAAAUAGGUUUUUAAGUUGAAAUAGAAUUAUCUCUAUCAACAUGAUCAAAUGAGAGGGACUUGCCUGAGUUUUCUGUGAUCGAAACUGAAAUAAUAUACUACUGCCAAUUGACACGUUCCAACUCUAGCUUCUUUCCUGAAAUUUGUUAUAUACGCUGAGGCUUCAAUAAAAUUUCAGCACAAGAAAUACAAAUGCUCUCCAAUUAAAAUGUGCUCUGCAGAGUUUAUUUUAUUGUGCCAGCUUUCUUAUGUUUAAUAGCUAAUUUAUCUAACUCUAAGCUUGAACUGCACAAUACUAUUCCGGUAGCAGGUUCAAUUUAAUGACUUGUGUAGUCUAGUAGUGUACAUCUAGCAAUUUAAUCCCCUUCCAUUCUCUCCUUCUCUCUCGAACAGAUAAGGCAGCAGCAGCAGUAAUUCCUCCGCUUCUUCUUCCUUGCUGCUGUUCCUAAGGCACUUCUCCCUUCCCCAACUAAAUCAUCCAAGCCAUGGCUACCGAUCUACCAUUGCUAGUGUGGAUCAGCUCUGCUGCGGCUACUGCUGUGGCGGUGGUGGUUGCUGCAGCUACGGCUGCGGCUGCGGGUGCUCUCUCUCUCUCCUUCUCUCAUCUCUCUGGCUCUAGCACUUGUGCAGUGAUGGGUGCAAUUUAGUGAUGGCCCUAAUGGUGAUUUGCAGGUGUAGGGGAACAGAUGCUUGGUUGCUAGGUGCUAAAAAAAAAAGGAAAGCCAAGUAUUGAGGGAUUCACCUUUGCCUAGGUGACAAGUUCGUCCAUGGUUGUGCUCCCGUGUUCAUCUUCGCCGAUGCAUUGGCCUUUCCUCUUCCUUGGGUAAAUCACAUUCCCUCCUUGCUGAUUUCUCUUCUCCUCUUCCUAGCCGACAUAGUGAUGGUAUGAGUAUUUGGCCAAGAACUAUUUGGCUACUAAUCAUAGGGGAUUCAAAAUUUGGUGCUUGCAAUGGAUGGGGCACAAUCUUGCAUUUCGCUGAUUUGUUGGCUAUUCCCUCACUCCCUACUUCUCUCCUCCUCCUCUCCUGAGCUGCUCACUCCUCACUAAUUGGUUGGAGCUCAUAUGCAUGCAUCUGCUGCCAUUGCUGUCGCCAUGCUUUGAGUGCUUGACCAAGGUGAGAUAGAGUCUUGACUAAGGUGGCUGAAGUUGUGCUACUAUCUUUGUGGUCUUGUGUGAAGCUUCCUAUGUGGAGCUAUGUGAUUGGUGGAAAAUUAAUACUUCUGGUGAAUUGAGGUCCCUUUGGUGAGAUUAAUUCUUUAUUUGAGAUGUGUGGCUUCUUUGUGUUAAUUAGCCGGAUGACGAACCCGACUUAAGUGAGGGGUGCCAGACGGUAUUAGCCGAUCUAGGUAUCUCGGUGAACGGUUGAAUAUACACCACUUUGUGUAUGGGUCUGACGGCAACAUUUAUUUACAUAUUACCUUUUGUGUAUAAAAGGGGUCAAGCUAUGUAUGUCCUGUGCAACCGUAUAUUUAAAUAUAUGCGGCUGUGUUCUUUGCCGUGAGUCCUCAACACAUCUCCCUCGUUUUCCGUGUGCACGCUUUUCAAACUGCUAAACGGUGUGUGUUUUGCAAAAAGUUUCUAUAGGAAAGUUGCUUUAAAAAAUCAUAUUAAUCCAUUUUUUAAAUUUUUUAUAGUUAAUACUUAAUUAAUAAUUCGUUAAUCUAUCUCUCCGUUUUGCGUGUGGAGAGGAGGGGUUCCCAACCCCUCCAAAAGAACACAGCCAGUGUACGUUUAUGUAUACAUGCUGACUGUUUAUAGUGAUGUUUGUUCGUAUAAUAUUUCCAUGUUAUUAUUAUUAGUAUAUUGUGGUGGUAUAUUGGACAUUAUUUAUUUGUUUUACUUCAACAGAUGUGAAUGUUAUAAAUUUUGAGUGGCUUAUUCUUGUUUCCAAAAAUUUUGCUAGUUAACUGAUUAAUUAAUGAUAUAUGUCACAUAAUUUUUAAUUUUUUUAAAUAGCUUAAAAUUCCGGGUUGUUUCACCAUUGAAAAAUCUUUGGAUUAAAACACUAUAUUACGUACAAGUCAAAUAGAAAAUUGAGAAAGCAUCUAAAUUUAUCUAUGAAUAAAACAAAAAACAGGGAACUAGAUGAGCAGAAGUAAGGGCAACACCAAUGUAUCUUGUUUAACUAGGUAAUAAGUAGCAGGGCUAAGUAGUAGGUCUUUGUAAAGUGGGUCCCAUGAGGAAAAAAAUAUUGCUUUUUAGUUGCUUUUUGUCCAACUCAGCAUGCAGUAGUAGCACAUCUUGUGUUGGAAGGAGAGAGUGAGAGAGAUUUUAAUGUUUUUUUAUUCUUAUGAGUGGGUCAUAAGCUUACUAUCUAGCAUUAGUUACUACCCACUUCCACAAUGCUUAUUACUAGAUCAUAGAAAUAUUAUAUUGCUUAAUACCUGCUUUUUCCUAACAUUGUGGAUGCCCUAAGUAGUAACUUGUAAUUUCACUGGAAAAUGAUAGAUAGAAAUUGGCAAUCGAAGACAUAUUUGUUUUAGGAUAUGUAUUUCCACCUGAUUACACAGAUUCUAUUCUGCACAUCUGAAACUAUCUAUAUAAUGGAAACAGCACUAACUUUUUAGAUGCCAUUUUCCCGUAAUAUUGUCUUCCGCAAUUUCUUGAAGUUAAAUGAUCUAUCUAGCAGACUAGCACGUAAACCCACUAAUCACGAUAUAUUCUUAUUAAUUGAACGUUUGUGGAUAAACCUUUUAUAUCUAUGGUAUUAGCGGUUUAAAAUCCAAUGUUGAAAAAAAUCUAUGAAAAAAAAACUAAAAUCAACUUAAAAUUAAGUUUUAAAAUUCAAUUUGCUAAAUAAUAAGCACAGGCUAUAAAGUGGUUGGCGCGCCAACAUGCGUGCUCAUUUUCUACUAAUAGACUAAAUCCAUCUUAUCUGUAGCGCUCAUUGUCUACUAAUAGACUAAAUCCAUCUUAUCUGUAGCUG
rnacentral:lncRNA from 1 species